AACGUAGGUGGCAAGCGUUAUCCGGAUUUACUGGGCGUAAAGCGUGUGCAGGCGGCCUGUCAAGUGGUGUAUGAAAUCGCCCGGCUCAACCGGGUGGGGUUAUGCCAGACUGGCAGGCUGGAGUCUGAAAGAGGGGGGUGGAAUUCCGGGUGCAGUGGUGAAAUGCGUAGAGAUCCGGAGGAACCCCAGAGGCGAAGGCGGCCCCCUGGUUCAGCACUGACGCUCAGACACGACAGCAUGGGGAGCGAACGGG
rnacentral:rRNA from 1 species